rnacentral:rRNA from 1 species
AUUGAACGCUGGCGGCAGGCCUAACACAUGCAAGUCGAGCGGAGCGGCGGACGGGUGAGUAAUGCCUAGGAAUCUGCCUGGUAGUGGGAGAUAACGUCCGGAAACGGGCGCUAAUACCGAAUACUAUCAGAUGAGCCUAGGGCGGAUUAGCUAGGUGGUGGGGUAAAGGCCUACCAAGGCGACGAUCCGUAACUGGUCUGAGAGGAUGAUCAGUCACACUGGAACUGAUACACUGUCCAGACUCCUACGGGAGUCAGCAGUGGGUAAUAUUGGACCAUGGGCGAAAGCCUUAUCCAGCCAUGCCGCGUGUUUGAAGCAGGUCUUCGGAUUUUAGAGCACUUUAAGUUGGGAGGCGUUACCAACAGAAUAAGCACCGGCUAACUUCGUGCCAGCAGCCGCGGUAAUAC